CGCCACCCGUCUGGGGCCCGAAAGGAGGGAGCUUUCCCUCUGUCCCCCAGCCUUUGGACUGUCACCAAACAAGCCAUUCGUUCACCAAAUACUUUUUAAGCGCCUACCAUGUGCCUGACAAGGGAUAUGUAACGGUGAGAAAAACUAGGUGUGGUCCAGGCCCUUCAGGGACUCAGGGGCUCGUGGAAGAAGUGGAUAUUGAAGUACUUAUCACACAAAGGAGGAUAAAAGUACGAUAGCGAUAUCUACCACGAAGCUGUUGUUCCACACCAGAACCAAAUGAGCGCAAGAUCUGACAAAAAAAAAAGGUUCAUCUUUUAUUCUUCCAAACACUUUCAUUUAAAUCAAGAGGAUGGGAUGUGGUUAUUACUGUGUUUUUAGACAAAAUCAAUGGUUUCUGGCUCUGAGAUGUUGCAUACACCCUCUCAGUCCCUGUAUCCUGAGAUGGAGUCACCUGAGAAUCCACAGCAAGUCCUAACCAGGGAUGGGUCUGGGUGAUUAAGGAAGAUUGGCUUCAGAACUGGGCCAGGGGCACUGCUUUGCUUUUGCUGUUUUGAUCAGCUCUCUGCCUGCAGGAGACGAGGAAAACCAAUGGGAACAGAGAGUCUCCCUCUGUUGCCAGGCUGGAGUGCAGCGGCA
rnacentral:lncRNA from 1 species